CAAAGGAGAGCUGAACAAAACAGUAGAUGUGUAUGCUUUCUGUGCAUUCAGGUAUCCAACCUAUUUAUUCAACUUUGGAAAUUUGAGUGUCUAUAGUUUCCAUUUCAUGCUUGUUUUUCUUUAUUUCUCAGCAGUGUUGAGGACGAGCUUUGUUGGAUGUUAGGAAGAAUAUUCUGGGAGGUGUUGAAUAGGAAUGUUAUUAAUGUCGACAUUCUGUUCACAUGCUUGAGACAUGCCGUUUAGUUUAAGGAUGAUUAGAGUGUUUAUAGUCAUCUGAAAAAGG
rnacentral:lncRNA from 1 species